rnacentral:rRNA from 1 species
UCGGAAUUACUGGGCGUAAAGCGCGCGUAGGUGGUUCAGCAAGUUGGAUGUGAAAUACCCGGGCUCAACCUGGGAACUGCAUCCAAAACUACUGAGCUAGAGUACGGUAGAGGGUGGGUGGAAUUUCCUGUGUAGCGGUGAAAAUGCGUAGAUAUAGGAAGGAACACCAGUGGCGAAGGCGACCACCCUGGACUGAUACUGACACUGAGGUGCGAAAGCGUGGGGGAGCAAACAGGAUUAGAUACCCCUGGUAG